CACACCUAUAUAUUAAGACUAACUUUACAAAACUGCAUCUACAUUACUCACAUUUGCGUGUUGCUUAUAGUUCAAAGAGAGAAGACUUAUGGUACAAUGACAUAUUUUUAACAAUGCUUUAAUUUUUAGGUUAUACAAUUUUGAUGAGCAAGAAUCCAAAUUCAAUAUCUCAGCGAGCCUCAACAUAUUUAAAUUGCAAGGAAAAACUUAAAAAGUUACGACAUUGGUAUCUUUUCUGAAGGGAAAGUACAUCUAGUUGGAUGCGUUAAACAGGUAUACAAUUUUGCUGAUCAAGAACCCAAAUUUAAUAAUUCGAAGGGCCUCAACAUAUUUAAAUUGCAAAGAAUCACUUAAAUAGUUUGGACAUUGGUAUCUUUUCUGAAAGGAAAGUGCAUUUAGUUGGAAACGUUAAACAGGUUAUACAAUUUUGAUGAGCAAGAAUCCAAAUUCAAUAUCUCAGCGGGCCUCAACAUAUUUAAAUUGAAAAGAAAACCUUAAAAAGUUUGGACAUUUGUAUCUUUUCUGAAGGGAAAGUACAUCUCGUUGGAUGCGUUAAACAGGUAAAGCUUGAAUGUUCCCAGUUGUUUUCACAUACAUUUGCAAAACAAAAAGUUAAUUAAUGAAAAAUGAUUAUAUUUUUUGAUUUUUUUUUAUAAUAAAAAAUACCUAGGUAUAGAUAUAUGAAUGUUCUUAUUAGCAUUGUCUAUACACCUUACAAUUUUUAAAACAGUUUCACACUUUUUGAGCUAGUUAUGGGGUUAAGACCUUUUAAUAUUUAUGAUGAGUAUUGUUUUAAAAUUAUUGUCAAGAAAAUGUAUCUAAGAAUUUGAAAAUGUUA